rnacentral:rRNA from 2 species
CUUGCCCUGCUUUCAACUACGCCGCGAGUGGCGAACUGGUGAGUAACACGUGGGAAAUCUGCCCAGAAGCAGGGGAUAACACUUGGAAACAGGUGCUAAUACCGUAUAACAACAAAAUCCGCAUGGAUUUUGUUUGAAAGGUGGCUUCGGCUAUCACUUCUGGAUGAUCCCGCGGCGUAUUAGUUAGUUGGUGAGGUAAAGGCCCACCAAGACGAUGAUACGUAGCCGACCUGAGAGGGUAAUCGGCCACAUUGGGACUGAGACACGGCCCAAACUCUUACGGGAGGCAGCAGUAGGGAAUCUUCCACAAUGGACGAAAGUCUGAUGGAGCAAUGCCGCGUGAGUGAAGAAGGGUUUCGGCUCGUAAAACUCUGUUGUUAAAGAAGAACACCUUUGAGAGUAACUGUUCAAGGGUUGACGGUAUUUAACCAGAAAGCCACGGCUAACUACGUGCCAGCAGCCGCGGUAAUACGUAGGUGGCAAGCGUUGUCCGGAUUUAUUGGGCGUAAAGCGAGUGCAGGCGGUUUUUUAAGUCUGAUGUGAAAGCCUUCGGCUUAACCGGAGAAGUGCAUCGGAAACUGGGAGACUUGAGUGCAGAAGAGGACAGUGGAACUCCAUGUGUAGCGGUGGAAUGCGUAGAUAUAUGGAAGAACACCAGUGGCGAAGGCGGCUGUCUAGUCUGUAACUGACGCUGAGGCUCGAAAGCAUGGGUAGCGAACAGGAUUAGAUACCCUGGUAGUCCAUGCCGUAAACGAUGAGUGCUAAGUGUUGGAGGGUUUCCGCCCUUCAGUGCUGCAGCUAACGCAUUAAGCACUCCGCCUGGGGAGUACGACCGCAAGGUUGAAACUCAAAGGAAUUGACGGGGGCCCGCACAAGCGGUGGAGCAUGUGGUUUAAUUCGAAGCUACGCGAAGAACCUUACCAGGUCUUGACAUCUUCUGCCAAUCUUAGAGAUAAGACGUUCC